UGAGUAAACUGGGCAGCCGCGGAGGUCGAGAAAAGGCCUUCGAGGAAAGUCCGAGCUCCGCAGGGCAGGGUGCUGGGUAACACCCAGUGGGGGCGACCCUAAGGAAAGUGCCACAGAAAUUAAACCGCCCUUUAAGUAAAGGGUAAGGAUGAAACGGUGCGGUAAGAGCGCACCAGCAGCCGGGCGACCGGCCGGCUAGGCAAACCCCACCCGGAGCAAGACAGAAUAGGAGGGAGAUGACGUUGCCCGCCGAAUCCCUCGGGUAAAGUCGCUGGAGGUGUCAGGCAACUGGCAUCCAAGAUAGAUGGCUGCCGCUCCUUUUAGUUUUAAUGGAGAUACAGAACUCGGCUUACAAGUUUGCUCAUUGU
rnacentral:RNase_P_RNA from 1 species